AAAUUGAAGAGUUUGAUCAUGGCUCAGAUUGAACGCUGGCGGCAGGCCUAACACAUGCAAGUCGAACGGUAACAGGAAACAGCUUGCUGUUUCGCUGACGAGUGGCGGACGGGUGAGUAAUGUCUGGGAAACUGCCUGAUGGAGGGGGAUAACUACUGGAAACGGUAGCUAAUACCGCAUAACGUCGCAAGACCAAAGAGGGGGACCUUCGGGCCUCUUGCCAUCGGAUGUGCCCAGAUGGGAUUAGCUAGUAGGUGGGGUAAAGGCUCACCUAGGCGACGAUCCCUAGCUGGUCUGAGAGGAUGACCAGCCACACUGGAACUGAGACACGGUCCAGACUCCUACGGGAGGCAGCAGUGGGGAAUAUUGCACAAUGGGCGCAAGCCUGAUGCAGCCAUGCCGCGUGUAUGAAGAAGGCCUUCGGGUUGUAAAGUACUUUCAGCGGGGAGGAAGGGAGUAAAGUUAAUACCUUUGCUCAUUGACGUUACCCGCAGAAGAAGCACCGGCUAACUCCGUGCCAGCAGCCGCGGUAAUACGGAGGGUGCAAGCGUUAAUCGGAAUUACUGGGCGUAAAGCGCACGCAGGCGGUUUGUUAAGUCAGAUGUGAA
rnacentral:rRNA from 1 species